CAUCGAAAAGUAUCAAAUAUAUUUUGAGGUUAUAAAAAGUGAACCGGAAAUAAGAAGAAAACCAUCGAAAAGUACCAAAUAUUUGUUAAGGUUAUAAAAAGUGAAGCGGAAAUUUGAAGAAAAUCAUCGAAAAG